rnacentral:misc_RNA from 1 species
AAAGUCGUAACAAGGUUUCCGUAGGUGAACCUGCGGAAGGAUCAUUAACACAUCCAAUUUCCAUAAAAACCCAAACCCUUUUAAAUAAAAAAAACAACCAUUUUUAACCCCUAAUAACAUAACUAAUUGACUAAACUAAGAUUGUAUCUCAGAUUAAGCAAAUCAUUCUCUAAAAUUGUUAACUCCAUUUUCGAUUGAGUCUUUUGUGACGGUUUGAGUCCAAUCGCACCAAUUCAUUCAUUUGAAUUGUAUCAAAUAAAAAUACAACUCUUAACAAUGGAUAUCUUGGUUCUC